CCGGGACCUGCGACGCACGCGCGCGCGCGCAGCGCGUCAGAACUCGGAAGUGUGGGCGUCCGGGCGGGCUCUGGGCCGCACGGCGGUGGCAGACCCCGCCAUGGCCCAGGAGCGGGGAUCGGAGGCCCCCGCGCCUCCGGGUUCUCAGACACUUCUGGAUGCCCUGCUCCGGAACCUCUACGACUUCGGGGAGACAGAAGAUGAGGCAGAAGAGAAAAGGAUCAGAAAGAAGGGAGAAAACAAGAGGAGAGUUGUAGGGACUCCAGUGACCUUGGCAGCAGACCCAGCUCCUGUACCUGGUUCUCCCGUGAGAGGCCAAAGGAAGAGAGUCUCCAGCUUCUUCAAGGAACUCAGGGAAGAGCUGCAGGGUGUUCCUGCUGUGACCCCCACCAGCUCUCCUUCAGGACCAGACGCCUCUAGUGCUACGGCAUCUCCCUCAACACUGAGGAACAGCAGGGAGCGAGUACAAGUGAUAGAAUUUCACAGCAGAAAUAAAAAAAGGAAAGGGAAGCGGGAUCAAGAUGAAAACACACAGACCAAAACUAAUAUCCUUGGGAGUGAUGUGGAUAGACAAGAAUUUAACUUAGAGAAGGCUGUCAGUUAAAACCCGAGGACUUGUGACCACAAUGCCAAUAAUGCAGUGGUAAGUAUGAAAAGCCAGGCGUGUGUAUUUUGUAGUCAAAACUCGGUUUUUAAAAAUGCAUGAAAAAGAAGAGAGGAGGAAGGGAUUGAGCUGCUAAGAGUGGGCACUGGUGACUUUUUCCUCUUCCUCUGCAGUGUCUUUAAACAAAUGAGCAAACCCAGAUCUGUAUUUGAAACCUCCAUGAGGAAUGGUUUCUCCUUGUGAGUGUGUUUGGAGGGGUACCUUUAAGUGGAAACUCAGAGAGCAUCUCUGCGUUUAAUCCGAAUUCUGUUGCUAAUUUGUGUGGAGAGAAGUCUCUGCUUCACCUGUCCAAAAUUAAACGUGGGAGAACGGAGACCUCCACAAGGCUGCGCAAACCACCCUCCACAGAGUUCUUGCGACAGCACGUUGUGUCUGACGUGUGUUACUCCCCGGGAUGUAUCUCCUGUCUGGAGUCUUUGGAACGCACCUGGGUCUGAUUCUGCUUUGUACCCACAGGCUCGCUUGGAAGUGCACCGGUUUGGGAUCACGGGUUACGGAAAAGGAAAGGAAAGAGUCCUGGAACGGGAACGUGCCAUAAUGCUGGGUGCUCAGCCUCCCAAAAAUAGUUAUGUGAAUUACAAGGUCUUGCAGGAGCAAAUCAAAGAAAAAAAGGCAGCAAAAGAAGAAGAAAAGAGAAUGGCCCAGGACACAGAUAUUUUCAAGAAAAAGAAGAGGAAAGGGCAGGAAGACAGGAGAGUCAAAAAGAAGAAAUCAGCUCCCAGUAUUUUGUCAAGUGGACGGAUUGGACAGGUUGGAAAAUUCAAAAAUGGGACACUGAUUCUGAGCCAGGUUGACAUCAAGAAAAUAAAUUCCUCCCGAGUGGCUAAGUGAAGUACUUCGUGACAUAGAGGAACUCUGUAGUGGAACUGGACCCCUAUGAGACUUCUAGAUUAUUCUUAAUUUAUUUCAUAUUUUAGAGACCGCUUUUCUAUUUUAGGGGAAAACGUCAAGUAGAAAUAAUAAAAUUUGUACCGGUGCGGUGUGUGUGUUUUAUGGUGAUAAGCGUACGGUGGGAAGAGCCAAUCGCACUGUGAGUAUAAUUAUAGCCAGCCUGUUGAAAAGGACGUUUAAUCCUGGCCAGCGAGAUUUAUGCUAGAUUGGCUCUGACUGGUGUUUUGUACCUCUGCAUGUAAUGAUUUUUCAUAAACUUCAUGAUUUACUGAUUUGUCAAUGCUGGUAAUUAGCUUUAGGUUGCCUUUUUUAAUUUUCUAAAAAUGGUGUCCUGUUACUUUGUCAUGAAAGAACCACGUGUGAUAAUUUGUCAGUUGUUUUUGUGGGAAAAGCAGUUUUGAUUUUUAGCCUACCCCGUGUGUGAAAUCUCUGUAAGAAGUUAUGUAAAUAGAACACAGCUUUUGUGGUAUAUGUGACUGUGACAGGUAACACAGCAGAGGAUUUUAGCCACACCUACAUGUAAGCUAAUGUCCUCUCCAGAAUAAUCACCAUGGAUGGCUAAUCAUAUUUUUUAAAUUAUAUUGCACUUAACUGAAAGCGUCUGGAACUUCUCAAAGCUUGUGACCCAUUAAAAACAAAAAGUCUUCAAUGAUAGUAA